rnacentral:rRNA from 1 species
CCUACGGGUGGCUGCAGUGAGGAAUAUUGGUCAAUGGGAGAGAUCCUGAACCAUCCCCGCCUCUUUCUUGCCGCCUUCCCUCUUUUUUUUCCCCCUCUUUUGUCGGAGAACAAAACCCGGGACGUGUCCCGGACUGCGUGUAUCCGAAGAAAAAGCAUCGGCUAACUCCGUGCCAGCAGCCGCGGUAAUACGGAGGAUGCGAGCGUUAUCCGGAUUUAUUGGGUUUAAAGGGUGCGUAGGCGGUCCGUUAAGUCAGCGGUAAAAUUGCGGGGCUCAACCCCGUCGAGCCGUUGAAACUGGCAGACUUGAGUUGGCGAGAAGUACGCGGAAUGCGCGGUGUAGCGGUGAAAUGCAUAGAUAUCGCGCAGAACUCCGAUUGCGAAGGCAGCGUACCGGCGCCAGACUGACGCUGAGGCACGAAAGCGUGGGGAUCGAACAGGAUUAGAUACCCCUGUAGUC